rnacentral:rRNA from 1 species
GACGAACGCUGGCGGCGUGCCUAAUACAUGCAAGUUGAGCGCUGAAGGUUGGUACUUGUACCAACUGGAUGAGCAGCGAACGGGUGAGUAACGCGUGGGGAAUCUGCCUUUGAGCGGGGGACAACAUUUGGAAACGAAUGCUAAUACCGCAUAAAAACUUUAAACACAAGUUUUAAGUUUGAAAGAUGCAAUUGCAUCACUCAAAGAUGAUCCCGCGUUGUAUUAGCUAGUUGGUGAGGUAAAGGCUCACCAAGGCGAUGAUACAUAGCCGACCUGAGAGGGUGAUCGGCCACAUUGGGACUGAGACACGGCCCAAACGCCUACGGGAGGCAGCAGUAGGGAAUCUUCGGCAAUGGACGAAAGUCUGACCGAGCAACGCCGCGUGAGUGAAGAAGGUUUUCGGAUCGGAAAACUCGGUUGGUAGAGAAGAACGUUGGUGAGAGUGGAAAGCUCAUCAAGUGACGGUAACUACCCAGAAAGGGACGGCUAACUACGUG